ACAGAAUAACUUCUUUUAUAAUAGUUCCUUGAAAUAUGGAUUUGGUUUUAGUCAGUCGCAACUAGUUAGUUAAAUUUUGCUCUUAAGUGUAAUCACUAACUUACCAGCAGUAAUUUGACCUAUACCUAAAUGUAUACCUAACAUGUCUGCUUUCUGGCAAAAGGUACAAAUGUACAUUGAAAUUUGAAGCCAUGGACAUGACUUUGGAGAAGAGAUGAGGUUGUAUGAUGUACCUCUCCAGAACCUACCUUCCCAGCGCUAGCAAGGAACCAUUGUGAGAAUGGUUUUGGACCAUGAUGGUUAACAGAACAGGUGAUGAAGGAAACUCCCAGCGAGCCCAGCACAAGGCCAGCAGUUUGUUUGUACAGACCCUCUCCAUCCCCCUCAUGAACCUGCCCUGGAAGGGAGAAGGCAUUCUUGGCAUGUGCUCGCCAACCCCAGUGUUUAUUGUUUAUGGCUGCGUGGCUCCAGUUCUUCUGCUGGAGACACUCCAAUCUAUGUCUGGGGAGGGCUGUCCGCCCCACAAGGGCAGAGGUAGUGCCCUGGGUGACCUCCCUGUUCUGGGUGGGCUGGGCCCUGUUGCUGCCACUUCUCCCUGGAGAUGGGAAGUAGUGGGGAGGGAUUAGGAUCCCUGACUUACCUUUCAUCAGCUUCUACAGGAUGGAAACUGGAGGGGAGGAACUACAAGGGAAAUAGGAAAGGCAAGAGGGGUGGACAUGACAGUGUUCUCGGCAAGGUUUCCUCAGCACACAUGGGAAGAUGCACUCAAGUACUUCACCCCAUCCUGAUGUGAGCUGUCAUGAGGUGGCACACGUAUAGACAGCAACCAACUGUUUCCACCCUCACGACAGCACUAGUCACCAGCAACUCAAAAGUGAAAGAGAAUCAUGUGGAAUUUUGUAAUUUAUGGUACGUUCAGUUUAUCGGUUUUGAGGUUAGUUCAUGUUACUUUAUGUACAUUUUGUACAUACAUUGUAUGUAUCAUCUAAGGUUUUGUUUCAUUCCAUUAUGUAUCAAACAAGUUUCCCUAUAUGGUCCUUCUAUGUAUAAAGUAUUUAUUUUCCUGUGGAUUGGCGUGCAUGCUUCAUUAGCAUGUGCAUAAUACACUUAAGUCUUAUUGUUGAGAUUGUUACUGUUUUACAGAUAUUAUUAUUGUUAUAUUGUUAUGUUAACUGUUAGUUACUGUUCCUAACUGCAGGACUAUUUUGUCCUGUCAUAUCCUCCUGUAUAAUUUCCAGAGACUACAUAUACAUGUCAUGUAUAUGAAACAAUUUCUAUUUAUUUUCCUCAUUUACCUAUGGGUAUCUAACACCUUUGUCUUGAUGUUUUCUUUAAAGGUAAUUUAUACACAUGGCUCUUCUUUUUCUCUGUACAUGUGUAUAUACGUUGUAGUAAUGUUUCCCUCCUUCUUCAUGCCUUGUCCAACAAACAUGCCUUUACAAAGUCACAAGUACUCACAACUAAACAAAAGGAAAAACUAUUUAUCCAAAGCGAUAAAGUGCAUGUUUAUGUUGAGGUUUAGGUUUAUUGUGAAGUUAACUAUCUACAAUGAAAAUGUACAUUCCCUUUUGUGUGCAACACAUCAAACUGAAGUGUAUACAAACCUAUCAAAGUUUGAUAUCUGUUAACACACAGUAAUUUCCACAAAGUUUUAAAUGCUGAUGUUCUAUGUACAUGUAUAUUUGGGAAUCAUUUGGAAUAAAGUAAAAUCUACAGUGUGUCUCUGCAAAUAAAUAAAAUGAGCAUAUCAAAA